rnacentral:rRNA from 1 species
GAUGAACGCUGGCGGCGUGCUUAACACAUGCAAGUCGAACGGUGAAGCCCAGCUUGCUGGGUGGAUCAGUGGCGAACGGGUGAGUAACACGUGAGCAACCUGCCCCUGACUCUGGGAUAAGCGCUGGAAACGGCGUCUAAUACUGGAUACGAGUAGCGACCGCAUGGUCAGUUACUGGAAAGAUUUAUUGGUUGGGGAUGGGCUCGCGGCCUAUCAGCUUGUUGGUGAGGUAAUGGCUCACCAAGGCGUCGACGGGUAGCCGGCCUGAGAGGGUGACCGGCCACACUGGGACUGAGACACGGCCCAGACUCCUACGGGAGGCAGCAGUGGGGAAUAUUGCACAAUGGGCGCAAGCCUGAUGCAGCAACGCCGCGUGAGGGAUGACGGCCUUCGGGUUGUAAACCUCUUUUAGCAGGGAAGAAGCGAAAGUGACGGUACCUGCAGAAAAAGCGCCGGCUAACUACGUGCCAGCAGCCGCCGUAACAC